rnacentral:rRNA from 1 species
GACAGAGGGUGCAAGCGUUGUUCGGAAUCAUUGGGCGUAAAGCGUGCGCAGGCGGCUUUGCAAGACAGAUGUGAAAUCCCCGGGCUUAACCUGGGAACUGCAUUUGUGACUGCAUGGCUGGAGUGCGGCAGAGGGGGAUGGAAUUCCGCGUGUAGCAGUGAAAUGCGUAGAUAUGCGGAGGAACACCGAUGGCGAAGGCAAUCCCCUGGGCCUGCACUGACGCUCAUGCACGAAAGCGUGGGGAGCAAACAGG